rnacentral:rRNA from 1 species
AUUGAACGCUGGCGGCAGGCCUAACACAUGCAAGUCGAGCGAGCGGCGGACGGGUGAGUAAUGUAUGGGGACUGCCCGAUAGAGGGGGAUAACUACUGGAAACGGUGGCUAAUACCGCAUACUCUCGGAUAACCCAUAUGGGAUUAGCUAGUAGGUGGGGUAAAGGCUCACCUAGGCGACGAUCUCUAGCUGGUCUGAGCGGAUGAUCAGCCACUAAGGGACUGAGAAACGGCCAAGAAUCCUACGGAGGAAGCAGGGGAGAAUAUGGCACAAUUGGCACAAGCCUGAUGCAGCCAUGCCGCGGGUAUGAAGAAGGCCUGAGGGUUGUAAAGUACUUUCAGAGGGGAGGAGUUACCAGCAGAAGAAGCACGGGCUAACUCCGUGGCAGCAGACGCGGUAAGUA